rnacentral:lncRNA from 1 species
AUGACUCAUCUCCCUGCCCUGCUCCCCGCACUGUCUCAGACAAGCCUGGGUGGCUCAUUGCAGAUGCCCAUCAUUAAUGUGCAUUCCACUCUCAAUUCCCUGCAGAACCUUCACCAUCAUCACAAACACGGAAAGGGUAUUCUUCUCGGAGAAAGCCAUUCAUCAGCGCUGCCCACCUCCGUCUCCUGCGCAGGAAUGACUUCAACUGCCAACGGGAAGAGGGAGCCAACAGGUCCUGUGUGGCUUGAAGAACUUCGGGGCCAAAAUGGGCCAAGAUUCAAAGUGGGGGGCUGGGGAUUUAGCUCAGCGGCAAAAGCGCCUGCCUGGCAAGGGCAAGGUUGUGAGUUCGGUUCCUGGUACCGGAGAAAAACCAAAAAAAAAAAAAAAAAAAAAAAAGAUUCAAAGUGGUGCGUCAGCAGUGCACACCUUCUGAAGACUCCCUUUUCUAAAAGCUCUUGGUCAGUGUCUCAGGCCAUUUCCUUUGCUUAAAGGCUACCUUCCCAAGCAAA